ensembl:snoRNA
AUCUUCUUGUGGUUCAUAGGUAUGAUUAGUAGGUUUCCAUGUCAUUCUGUGAUAUGUGCCUAAUUCAAACCUUGUUAGGCUAUCAGGUCAUUACCCAUCUGAUG